rnacentral:rRNA from 1 species
AUGAACGCUGGCGGCGUGCCUAAUACAUGCAAGUCGAGCGAACAGAUGAGGAUCUUGCUCCUCUGACGUUAGCGGCGGACGGGUUAGUAACACGUGGAUAACCUACCUAUAAGACUGGGAUAACUUCGGGAAACCGGAUCUAAUACCGGAUAAUAUAUUUAACCGCAUGGUUCAAUAGUUAAAUACGGUUUUGCUGUCACUUAUAGAUGGAUCCGCGCCGCAUUAGCUAGUUGGUAAGGUAACGGCUUACCAAGGCAACGAUGCGUAGCCGACAUGAGAGGGUGAUCGGCCACACUGGAACUGAGACACGGUCCAGACUCCUACGGGAGGCAGCAGUAGGGAAUAUUCCGCAAUGGGCGAAAGCCUGACGGAGCAACGCCGCGUGAGUGAUGAAGGUCUUCGGAUCGUAAAACUCUGUUAUUAGGGAAGAACAAAUGUGUAAGUAACUAUGCACGUAUUGACGGUACCUAAUCAGAAAGCCACGGCUAACUACGUG